CUUGUACACACCGCCCGUCACACCAUGGGAGCGGGUUCUGCCAGAAGUAGUUAGCCUAACCGCAAGGAGGGCGAUAACCACGGCAGGGUUCGUGACUGGGGUG
rnacentral:rRNA from 1 species